CUACGCACUCCUACGGGAGGCAGCAGUGGGGAAUAUUGCACAAUGGGCGCAAGCCUGAUGCAGCCAUGCCGCGUGUAUGAAGAAGGCCUUCGGGUUGUAAAGUACUUUCAGCAGUGAGGAAGGUGGGUAUGUUAAUAGCAUACUCAUUUGACGUUAGCUGCAGAAGAAGCACCGGCUAACUCCGUGCCAGCAGCCGCGGUAAUACGGAGGUGCGAGCGUUAAUCGGAAUUACUGGGCGUAAAGCGCAUGCAGGUGGUUUGUUAAGUCAGAUGUGAAAGCCCGGGGCUCAACCUCGGAAUUGCAUUUGAAACUGGCAAACUAGAGUACUGUAGAGGGGGUAGAAUUUCAGGUGUAGCGGUGAAAUGCGUAGAGAUCUGAAGGAAUACCGGUGGCGAAGGCGGCCCCCUGGACAGAUACUGACACUCAGAUGCGAAAGCGUGGGGAGCAAACAGGAUUAGAUACCCUGGUAG
rnacentral:rRNA from 1 species